rnacentral:rRNA from 1 species
AGUUAUUAAAUUAUUUUUAAUUUUAUAAUUUUUAAUUUUAUUAAUAAAAGUAAUUUUAUUUAUUAAUGUUUUUGUAUAUUUUAGAAAAAAUUUUUUUUAUAAUAAUUUAUUAUGUAUUGUGAAAGAAUUUUGAAAUAAUUUGAAAAAUAAAUUGUUAAAAAGUAAAUUUAAUUUAUUGUACCUUGUGUAUCAGGGUUUAUUUAAUAAAAAAUAAUUAGUUUAUUUUUCUCGAAUUUAGAAGAUUUAUAUAAGUAUAAUUUUUUAUAUGGAAAAAUAAUUUUUAAUAUUUAUAUAGAAAUGAAAUGUUAAUCGUUUUUAAAUUUAUCUAGUUUUUAAAUAAAUAAAUUUAAUUUAGAUAUUAAAUUAAAAAUAGUAAUUUAUUUAUAUAUUUUUUUAAUAUUAAUAUUUUAUGGGAUAAGCUUUAAAAUAUAAUUUUAAAACUUUAUAAAAUUUUUAGAAUUAUUUAGUCUUAGAAAUAGAUUUUAUUUAAAGUAUGUUAUAAUUUAAUUUUUAUAAAAUAAAAAUUUUUUUUUGGUUUAAUUAUUUAUUUAAAUAAAAAUUUAAAUUAUAAUUAUUAUGAAAUAAUGAUAAAAUUAGUAAAAAUUUUUAGUUGUAAAAUAUAUUUAAUUUUUGGAAGGUUAAAUUAAAGGAAUUCGGCAAAAUUUUUAUAUUCGCCUGUUUAUCAAAAACAUGUCUUUUUGUUUUUAAUUAAAAGUCUAAUCUGCUCUAUGAAGUUAUUUUAAAUGGCCGCAGUAUUUUGACUGUGCAAAGGUAGCAUAAUAAUUUGUCUUUUAAUUAAAGGCUGGAAUGAAAGAUUGAACGAAAUAUAUACUGUCUCUGAUUAAUUAAAUUUUGAAUUUAAUUUUUAAGUUAAAAAGCUUAAAUUUUUUUAGAGGACGAGAAGACCCUAUAGAGUUUUAUUAAAAUUUAUAAUUUUUAAAAAAUUAUUAAAAUUUAUUUGUUUUAAUUUUAUUGGGGUGAUAGGAAAAUUUAUUAAACUUUUUUGAUUAUAUAAACAAAGAUUAUUGAAUUAUUGAUCCUAUUUUUUAGAUUAUUAGAUUAAAUUACCUUAGGGAUAACAGCGUAAUUUUUUUUAGAGUUCUUAUCAAUAUUAAAGAUUGCGACCUCGAUGUUGGAUUAAAAUAAAUUUUAGGUGAAGAAGCUUAAAUUUUAGGUCUGUUCGACCUUUUGAAUUUUACAUGAUCUGAGUUCAAACCGGUGUAAGCCAGGUUGGUUUCUAUCCUUAAAUUUUAAAAAAUUUUUUAGUACGAAAGGACCAAAAAUUUAAAUUUAAAUUUUAUCUUAAGAAUUUUAUUAAUUUAUAAU